UUUGUACCAUCCUAGGGCACUGUCAUAUCAAAGUUAACUUAGCCCUGGAGCGUGGUCAAACAGUGGGAGACAUGGCCACCAAGCUGACUCUGGCAGACCUACCUUGAAGUGAGCUAUGAUAGGGUGAGAUGGCCUUGCAGCAGCAGCUGGGAAAAGAUAAGAGUGACACCAUCAAGAGGCAGAAGAGCAGUAUUCUUCUAUGUGUGUUUCAAAAAUAUAACCCUACUGAGAAAUUUCCUGGUAAAAUCUCUUUUAUAGAGAAAGCUGAAAAUUAUGACAUCAGGUCAUGUCUUCAGUUCAACCCGGAGAGAGUAACAGAGGAAAAGAGAGAGAGAGAGAGAGAAAGCACAAGCAUGGGGAAGGC